AAGUCGUAACAAGGUCUCCGUAGGUGAACCUGCGGAGGGAUCAUUAACACGUUUAUUUCAUUAUAAACGUAUCUAUACCAAACAAAUAGAAACAAUAAUAGUGUGUUAUAAUUUUAUAUUAUUUCAUUCUAUUUAGUUCUCUCUCCCUAUAUAAAAUAAUAUUUAUAUAGGCUAUUUUAAUAUAAACCCAUUUCCAACUUUAUAAUACAAUACAAUUGACUAAUAAAGAAAAUUGUAAUAAUUUUCUUUUUGAUAUAAUCAAAUAAGAGCACAACUCUUAGCAACGGAUAUCUUGGUUCUC
rnacentral:misc_RNA from 1 species